rnacentral:rRNA from 1 species
CCUACGGGGGGCAGCAGUAGGGAAUUUUCGGCAAUGGGGGGAACCCUGACCGAGCAACGCCGCGUGAACGAAGAAGUUCUUCGUAAUGUAAAGUUCUUUUAACAGGGAAGAAAGAGAAAUUUGACGGUACCUUAAGAAUAAGCUCCGGCAAACUGCGUACCAGCAGCCGCGGUAAUACGUAGGGAGCGAGCGUUAUCUGCAAUUAUUGGGCGAAAGGGUUGCGUAGAUGGCAUAGUAAGUCUUUGGUAAAAAUGCUGGGCUCAACCCAGUAGGGCAAAAGAUACUGGAAAGCUAGAGUAUGACAGAGGCAAGUGGAACUACAUGUGUAGCGGUAAAAUGCGUAAAUAUAUGUAAGAACACCAGUGGCGAAGGCGGCUUGCUGGGUCGAUACUGACAUUGAGGCACGAAAGCGUGGGGAGCAAACAGGAUUAGAUACCCCUGUAGUC